UACGUAGGGUGCGAGCGUUAAUCGGAAUUACUGGGCGUAAAGCGUGCGCAGGCGGCGCGUUAAGACAGGUGUGAAAGCCCCGAGCUUAACUUGGGAAUUGCGCUUGUGACUGGCGUGCUGGAGUGUGGCAGAGGGAGGUGGAAUUCCACGUGUAGCAGUGAAAUGCGUAGAGAUGUGGAGGAACACCGAUGGCGAAGGCAGCCUCCUGGGCCAGCACUGACGCUCGAUGCACGAAAGCGUGGGGAGCAAAACAGG
rnacentral:rRNA from 1 species